UCCCGAAUUUAUCGUCGCCUAUCGAUAUGGACAGGUCAUACUAACUGGCAUUUUUUUUACUUUUAGUUGUUUUUUACAAUAAAUAUUUCUUAAAGCCAAAAACAUUCGUUGUGUCUAGCUAUUUUUAUUGAUAAUUCAUUUAAAAUAUUUGUAGUAAAAGUUAAAAAUGCAACAAUGCACAUAAAACAGAAACUAAUAACAGUUGACUAGUAUUCCAAGUCAUUUCAUUAGACUUACAGGUAUCUAGCGGCCUCCAAGACUGGACUUUUCAGUUUUUGUGCAGGGGGAUAACAUAACGAUCGCGCAGAUAAAGCAACUUUUCAAAAAACACAAACGUCAAUGUGGUGUGAGGAGCACUACGAAA